UUGGUUUCAGUUUCCUUUUUGUUUGUAGGAGAAAGGAGUCAAAGGACAGUACCAGUCUGCAGGGAAGAAGGACUACAUGCCCCAGGAGUGCGUGCAUGGGGCCAGAUUCUAGAAGGAGAACUGAGGAAUGACUUGGUUAUUUUAGUGGUUUGUGAUCUUUAAUGUGCUGGAAUGAAAACUGGAAGGUGAGAUUCCUGUGUGACGUUGCAACUGAAUGCCAAUCUGCACUUCCUCUGCGUGCAAUGAAAUUUUGGAAGGAGAAUCCCAGCGGCAUUUCGAACAGAAACGUGUUUUAAAGAAAGGAGCAUUUACUGGAGGUGUCUAACAGUGAAGAAAGUGAUAGGCUAAGAGGUUUUGUUAUUCAUGUUCCCGGAAGUUGGAAUUCUACAAGAAGGACAUGGCCAUGGAUGCAGACACAGAACUCUUGGAAAAGAUUAGUCUGAAUGAAUCUGCUUCCGAGAUGGGGGAGGAAAAAGAAAAAGUCUUGGGAAAUAACAACCAUGCUGCACCAUCCCUGAUUUCCAGACUCCAGGAAGGGACCUCUGCUUUGAAUAUUUACACAGCAGAUGAGGAGAAGAGCAAAACACCUCCAGAGAACAAGGGCCAGAUCAUUUUUUAUGACCACAAAAACCUGAAAUGGGUUGAGUGGGAAGGGUCAAUUCCAAGUGGGGCAGUUUCCAUCUGGAAUGAGGAGGCAUCUCGCAGAGAGUAUGUCUGUGCAGAGGCAGGAUAUUCUGUUGGGUUUUUCAGUGAAAGUAAAGGUCCAUAUUGUUACUAUUCCAAUGCUGAUCAAGAACAUCGCACCUCACACUUCAGAAUGUUGGUAAAUAAGAAUAACGGUGAAGUGCUAGAGUGGAAGAAAGGAUCAUUUGGUUCCAUUCCACCAAAGUCAGUUCCAAGCUACCCCGGAGUUAACGUUUUUGUAGGUAGGAAUCGUUAUGGCUUAGGGAAAGUAGACCUUAGGUUUGAAGCUUUCUUCUUACCUCAGAAUGGCAAAGAGAAGUGUUACAAAGAAUACGAAGUUCUGAGUGUUAACACGCCCAAGAAAUAGCAAAAGUUCAGUAUUUAAUAAAUAAGGCAAAAUUUUCUUACUGGACAAUUCCAAUCUUCACAUUGUCCAAAAUCCUUAACAAUUUUCAAAAUAUAAAAGAAACUACAACCAAUGAGCAAUGCUGAAAAAUUGGUCACCCUACUUGAAAUGUAGUGGUUUCGACAAAAGUUCCCAUUUUCAAUGGGACAUCAGUAUGUUUUUCAUCAGAGAUAACUUUUCCAUUGUAUUGGUGCCAGUCGUACCAAGCUGCAAAAACAUCUGUCUACCUGUGAAAUGAAUGUCCCAACCAUUCAUGAAUGUGAGAUGGUCAUGAUGGGUACAAAGACGAGGGCUCAUAUACCCUAACCAGCCACACUCAUCCAUACUUAUCAAAAAGGAGAAACUCUCAGCAACACCAUUCGAGAAACAAGCACCAACAUCCACGUCUCAGAUGUGAAUGCUGAGGUGAGACCAUGCCAGCCCAUAAUAAAUGCUGAACUGUGUCUAAAGGAGUCUGUAGUUCCAAUAUCAGCAAUAUGGAAAAUUGUAGCUCUACUUUAGGCUUUUUCUUUUCCCAGAUUUUAAUCUUUCCAUGGAGUUAGUGUAAUAACUUUAUUGUUUAACAUUUUAUAUAGGGUUAUUGUUUUCUUUAGAUACUGAAGGUUGGGAUCAAGACCAUCAUUCAACCCCCAAGGAACACCUCUUUAUCCACUAUCCACCUUAUUCUCUGUUCUUAUGCCAUCAGCUGCCACGUAUAAUGCUGAACAGCCACAGAAGAGUAAAAAGAAGAUAAAUGUUGAGCAUCCGA